CAGACGGUUAUCAACUUAUCAUGGUGUUUUGAUUCGUGAUUCCAUCUGAUUCCACCGGUGCAAUGCAGAGCGCACGAUUAUCUGAUUAUAAAAAAUAAACAUUUUAUAUUUCGGAAAAGUCAGCCAAAUAAAAAAUUUCGUAGCGAUCUUCACACAAAAUUAUGGAACAAUAACAAACUAUAAAUAACAUUUUUUACAGCUAAAUCAUUGGCAACCCCUUCAACAUUUCAGCAGAAGACCUGAAUGUUUUCAAAACACCAUAUCCAAAUGUCAUCGCAGAAAGCAUUUUAAUAAAAAAGUUAUUUUUUUCAUAAACUGAACAUGGAUGUCCUCAGAACUAGUUUGUUGAAGACUUACUCUUCAAUUGAAAUACAUAGACUUAAAUGGAACGAAAUUCUACAAGGGUUUGAAUCGUCACUUAAGGUCAUGUCAGGAUUAAGUGAUCAGCUAGAGUGUGUACUGAAAACGGAACCAUGCGAGCUUUCGAGAAAAUUUCCCGAUUUAAACGGCAGACUGGAACAAAUCAUCAGGGCCUUAAUGGAAGAAGAGAUGAUUACUAUGGUACUUUUGCUAGAAGAGCUCAACCAGGAAAAUCAACGAAUAAAAAAUAUUUGUGAAGUUACAUAUAAACUUUAUGUGGAAGACUUUGAUAAAAUUCAAGCUGACACAACAUUCUAUGAAGGAACUUCUCUUUAUCCUCCAGUCAGUUUGAUGAUAGAGUGGAUGGAUGAGAUCAACAUGUGCUAUGCCAACAGACUGAUCAAUGCAAAGCAUUUGUUGGAGAUUUUUAAUUAUUCGUCCCAAUCUGUGACCAACUUGCAGAAUAUGUUAGAUCCCAAGACCAAUUUUUCUACAGUUGAUGCUAUAAUGGCAAAAAUGUCCAUUUUUCUUCUUGAAAAAUAAUACAUUUUUACAUUUUUAACAUAACAUAUGACUUCAUGCACAUACUUUUCAUCUCACUCCAUGUAUAUAUCAUUUCAUAAACCUAAUUUUUUAAUGUAUGUCUUCUUCUCUUCUAGUUUUCCGAUAGGGACUUCGUCGCAUUCACCAUAUACAAAUACCAAGAAAUUUUUCACCCGCCUAUUUCCCAUAUCCCACACACCCACUGUGGCGCCUCUCACGAAGUGUCAAGGUCGGGAACACUUCCAGAGAAAAAAGACAUGACUAUCGAGUAUCGAUUUACCUGGGAACGAUGAGGAUCAACGAAGAAAUCUACAUUUCAGGCUAGAGCCAGCCAUCAUAACCACACAAUAUGCAAGUUUUUCUUGUACAGGUGUUAACCUGUCAUCAGCAGCCAUUUAACUCUUCAGCGGAUGCAUGGAGCAACUGUGGAUGCCUGGCUGUAUUUCCCAGGUAUAAAGUUGGUGUUAGUAUGUCUGGUGGCUCUUGUCGCCGCAGCUGUUGAUGACCAAAAUAGUGAAAAUGACAGCCCGUUGUUGCGCAAUGGGAGAGAAUCAACUGACAUUCCCACAGACGGUCAAGUAGACGAUCCCAAUGUCGAUCUGCAUGCCAGUGAAGUUACCGUAAAGAUUCGAACGGAUAGCCAACAACGAAUCAGGUAUGGUGGGUACAGUGGCCCAUAUGGCGGUUACGGAGAACGCGGUAACUUUGGCGGAAUCCGUGGAUAGCUUAUAUUUGUAACAUGAAAUGCAGAGUCUAUGUUUUAUUGAAGAUUUUUAAAUAAACAGAAACAAUGUGCUA